rnacentral:rRNA from 1 species
UUGAAUAAAUUUGGUUGGGUUGUUGCUGGCUCUUUGGAGCAUGUGCACACUCACGCCAUCUUUUAACCACCUGUGCACCUUGUGUAGAUCUUGGUACUUGAGAAUCGUUGUUUACCGGCUUUUCUCGUAUCUGGGUCUAUGUUUUUAUAUACACACCAUAAAGUAUUAGAAUGUUUGUAUCUAGGUCUUCGUGCCUAUAAAACAAAAACAACUUUCAACAACGGAUCUCUUGGCUCUCGCAUCGAUGAAGAACGCAGCGAAAUGCGAUAAGUAAUGUGAAUUGCAGAAUUCAGUGAAUCAUCGAAUCUUUGAACGCACCUUGCGCUCCUUGGUAUUCCGAGGAGCAUGCCUGUUUGAGUGUCAUGAAAUUCUCAAACCUCUCCUAUCUUUUACGAGUUAGGCUCUGAGGCUUGGACUUUGGAAGUUGCUGGAUUCGUUUGAAUUCAGCUCUUCUUAAAUGUAUUAGCGGAAUCUUUGCUGAUCAUCUUUGGUAUGAUAAUUAUCUAUAUCAUAGACAGUCAGCCCCCCUUUUUAUGGGAAGGUUUUGCUUCUAAUAGUCUUAUUAAGACAACAUUGACAAUUUUGACCUCAAAUCAGGUAGGACUACCCGCUGA